AAAGUAAAAGUAAAGUUAAACACGCAAUUUUUGAGGACUUGCAAUUUUUGAGGACUCGAUACUCCUGUUCCAAUUGUUUGCAGAGAUUGAGAGGUUGAAAACAUGAACACAGGGCCUACAGUUGUUCACAUCGCUACAAUAGAUGAUUUAUGUGAUCAGGUUUUCUGAGUGAGAUCUGUCUGAGCAGUCCAGAGUCUAAAUCAGACAUCAGACUGGAUGGAGCCUGAGGGAGACCCUGGAGUCCUGAGCAGGAGUGUGACGCAGGAGAGAGUGGAGUCUCCUGCUCCCAGCUGUCUGUCUAUGAAGAGUGACUGGUCAAUGGAGCCACCAGAAAACUUUAAAAGAGGAAUCUGGACCCUUGAUAUAAGUGUCAAACAGGAGAGAGUAGAGUCACCUGCUCCCAGCUGUCUCUACAAGAAGAGUGACAGGUCAAUGGAGCCACCAGAAAACUUUAAAAGAGAAACCUGGACUCCCGAUCCAAGGUAUUGAUAUGAACAAAAAUAGGACAGCGCUCUGGUGAAUAAACUUAAAAUAACAUAUUUUUAUUGAUGCACAAACGUUUUGGGUAUGAGCCCGUUCUUCAGCGUGCAUAGGAGGCAAUGUUACGACAACAAUACAGGCCACACAAUUAUAGAUUCACAAAGUCAGUAUUAGCCCAAUCAUGAGAUCCCAGCAGAGGGAGCUGUGGGGGAAACAUGACAAUAUAUAUACACAAACACACAAUAAAGAUCCAUGGUGAUGUCAUCGCAGCCUAUAGGAGUGUGUUUUCGGCCUACAUAUUUAUAGCCUUCAACAUAAAACAAGAAAAGGAACAUUCCUCAUUUAGGCCUGCUGGGGCCUAAAUGGAGAAGUCAUUUAUCCCUACUUCCUCCCCUACGUGGUGCAUUGAAAUGGUGCCCUCACCAUUUCAAUGCCCAUAUAACGUAAGGCACUUAGUUUACGAUUAUGGCUGUUGAAAUGCUUCGCAACAGGAAUAUUUUCAUCAUGGUUGUGAAUGGAGCGCUUAUGCUCACAAAUCCUCGUCUUAAGUUCAUGUUUGGUCUUACCCACAUAAUACAAGUUAAAGGAACACUUAAGGAGAAAUACAACAUAUUUGAUGUUACAGGUUAUUCUACCUCAAACCUUUAUCCUCACACGAAUGGGGAUGGAUAAGAGAGUUCCCUCUGAUCAUGGCAUAACUGUGGACACAGUUGUGACAUGGGAAAAUACCAUCAGGAAUGAUAUGCAAUGCUUUUUUCUUAGGCAAAUCUGACCAUACUAAGCAAUCCUGUACAUUUGAGAGUCUCUUAUAGCAAAACCUUUGGGGAGAUUCAUAUUAUUUUCCAAAGCUGGAGUCGCUGUGUAAUAUGUGCCAAUGUCUAUUAACCACUUCCUCGAUCAACCUUGAAAUGGGACUGUAGGUGGGUGGACACCAACGUUGUAGAGGGAGGAGAGGAAUUAUUUUGACGUGGUUGCAGUAAUAGAUUCCACUCAGUUUCUCUUACCGUCUUAAGGCAAUUGUCCUAUAAUUCUUCUUUAUACCCUCUUGUUUUGAAUCGUUCACAUAAAUCUUUGGCAUGUACAGUACAUUAAAUGUUAAAUCAGAAUCACAAAUGUGCCUAAUGUGAAGGAGUUGACUAUAUGGUCAAUAAUUGUAUUUAUGAAAGUGUAUGAUAACUACUGAAAUUAAGAAAUGUAUUUCUAUCUGUUUCUUUUCUAUGCUCCUCAGUGUGCAGGCCGUUGCCAUCUUUCUUAAACAAAACAUCCAAAAAGGAAACAUGAUCUUUAUUGGAUACCAACGUGAAUUUAAUGGUCGACACCCUGGAAUUUAUAUACAGUGCAUUCGGAAUAU